AUUGAACGCUGGCGGCAUGCCUUACACAUGCAAGUCGAACGGUAACAGGUCUUCGGACGCUGACGAGUGGCGAACGGAUGAGUAAUACAUCGGAACGUGCCCAGUCGUGGGGGAUAACUACUCGAAAGAGUAGCUAAUACCGCAUACGAUCUGAGGAUGAAAGCGGGGGACCUUCGGGCCUCGCGCGAUUGGAGCGGCCGAUGGCAGAUUAGGUAGUUGGUGGGAUAAAAGCUUACCAAGCCGACGAUCUGUAGCUGGUCUGAGAGGACGACCAGCCACACCGGGACUGAGACACGGCCCAGACUCCUACGGGAGGCAGCAGUGGGGAAUUUUGGACAAUGGGCGAAAGCCUGAUCCAGCAAUGCCGCGUGCAGGAUGAAGGCCUUCGGGUUGUAAACUGCUUUUGUACGGAACGAAAAAGCUCCUUCUAAUACAGGGGGCCCAUGACGGUACCGUAAGAAUAAGCACCGGCUAACUACGUGCCAGCAGCCGCCGUAA
rnacentral:rRNA from 1 species